GAGUAGGGAUCCUCCUUGAUCUUCUGGCAGAUCUACAGCAGACCAGUAGGAGUAAGCACAGGCUGGGAUGCAUCAGGACACCCAUGCUGAAACUCAGCUGCCUAUGAAAGUAAGAGAAGUCUCUGGGGCUGGAGGUGCAGCCAGCUUUGGUGAGGGAAGAGUGUGGAUUUUAUCUUGUGCCAGCAGAGUGCAGCAAUGGGACUGCAAGGAGACCCAAGCACCUGAGAUACUUAUGCCAGUGCCCAAACCCCUUCCAGAACUGCUUGCACAAGAAAAAAAAGGGAAGAGUCUAAAGUGGGAUCAGAGAACAUCACCACGGAACGCACAGAUGCGGGCAUCCCUCAUCAGCUCAAUGGUGGCCUCCGUGGAUGGCCACUGAUGAGUGGCUGACUUGCCCUUGUUGCUUUCCUCUUCAUCGUAGGACUCAUAGGAGCUACUAACAGCUUCACCAUCUUCUAUAACAAAAGCAAAGCUCCAUCAUUAAAUACAUUCUGGAGACAACCCUGAGCCAGUUGCUUGACUCAGCCAUGCUCACACAUGCAAAAGCUUCCAGCGUGGGGAUAUGUCUUUUGAGGCUGCAGGAGGAUAAUCAAUAGUCCAACGUUAACCUCAUUGCAGUGUUUUGUGCCUAACAUUUUCAGUUAGCAAACACUCAAAAGACACUUUUCAAUUGAUUACAAUUUUGAGAACGUUCCCUUAGACAUUUUCUGAUGUUUGCUGCAUUCUUCCCCCUUUAGACAUGUUUUUUCUACUUCCCACUUCAAGCCAAACAUUCACAGUUUUUAAGGCAACAGCAAGAUACAAUCAGCCCUUGUCCUCUGAAUGCCAAAAGUAAAAAUGGCUAUUUGUGAGGCCAUGCAGCAAGCCUUCACCUAUUGCAUUGGAGAUGUCAUUCCACUUCUCUACAGGGCUAACAGGUCCCUCUUUUUACUCAGCAUCUGAGGGCCAACACAGGGCUUUCAAGUACCACCCUGUUGCUGCAUCAAAAACUAGUUAUAAGUUGCAGCUGUAAAUAGCAGUAACCACACUUUUCAUGCUCAUUCUUGAGCAGAUUGCUACACGACUAGGAUGAGUUGGGAUUUUCAAUACUCAGCUCCAAUUAUUGAAGGUCAUUGCAGUUUUUAGAUGACAGGAACAGCUCUGGUCAUUGGCACCAGACUUGUCAGAAACGAUUAAAGUGUUCCUACUGACUGCAGAGGGAUUUGCAAUGCUGUGCUGGUGUUUGUAGCACAGCUCAGGUAAGCUCACACAGCAAGAUGGCAAGAUUUGGGCAGCAUCUGUGCAGGGGUUUGCUUCCUUGUCCUACCAAGCAGGACAGAGUUGAAUAUCAUUAAGUUUCUCUCACCAGAAUUUAAUCUAGUUUUGAUUCUCAUCAAAUCUUAAU